AUAUUUCGGAACCGAAUCUAGUUCCUUCGAUCGAUAUCAAUCUAGUUCCUUUGAUAUCGAAGGAACUAGAUUCGGUUCCGAAAUAU